GAGUAAGGUGUGCUAUACCUGACAUGAUAUAUUUUGUGAACUUUAUUGGUGAAAGCUCAUCAUAUACUCAUAUUGGUGAGACAUCCUUGAGUUUUUAUUGUUGACGCAUCUUAUGUGGCUCAAUAUCACUUACAUGAUAACCUUCUUGUACGUUUGAGUGAUUUGGGACAUCUUUUUUGGGUCUGAAUUUCACCAUUGUGAGGUUGGUCUCUCGGAGCAAGCUAGCCAACACGAUUUGGAGCAAUAGCUGAAGAGGCAGGGAAUAGCUGAAGAGGCAGGGAGUGAAGGCUAGUAAACAGUUCCUUGGUCGACGUAGUAAUCUGAUUUUUUUUUGUUUUUUUUUUUAGUUUAACUGUUAUUUAACUUUAUUCUCAUUCUAUGGAUUUUUUUUACAUAUCAACUCCAGAUUUGUUUGUAGAAUAUUUGCAUACAAAUUGACAUUGGAAAUGGCAAAGAAUAAAUUGAAAAACAUGAUUUUUCA